rnacentral:rRNA from 1 species
AGAGUUUGAUCAUGGCUCAGAUUGAACGCUGGCGGCAGGCCUAACACAUGCAAGUCGAACGGUAGCACAGAGGAGCUUGCUCCUUGGGUGACGAGUGGCGGACGGGUGAGUAAUGUCUGGGAAACUGCCUGAUGGAGGGGGAUAACUACUGGAAACGGUAGCUAAUACCGCAUAACGUCGCAAGACCAAAGAGGGGGACCUUCGGGCCUCUUGCCAUCGGAUGUGCCCAGAUGGGAUUAGCUAGUAGGUGGGGUAACGGCUCACCUAGGCGACGAUCCCUAGCUGGUCUGAGAGGAUGACCAGCCACACUGGAACUGAGACACGGUCCAGACUCCUACGGGAGGCAGCAGUGGGGAAUAUUGCACAAUGGGCGCAAGCCUGAUGCAGCGACGCCGCGUGAGGGAUGGAGGCCUUCGGGUUGUAAACCUCUUUUAUCGGGGAGCAAGCGAGAGUGAGUUUACCCGUUGAAUAAGCACCGGCUAACUACGUGCCAGCAGCCGCGGUAAUACGUAGGGUGCAAGCGUUAUCCGGAAUUAUUGGGCGUAAAGGGCUCGUAGGCGGUUCGUCGCGUCCGGUGUGAAAGUCCAUCGCUUAACGGUGGAUCCGCGCCGGGUACGGGCGGGCUUGAGUGCGGUAGGGGAGACUGGAAUUCCCGGUGUAACGGUGGAAUGUGUAGAUAUCGGGAAGAACACCAAUGGCGAAGGCAGGUCUCUGGGCCGUUACUGACGCUGAGGAGCGAAAGCGUGGGGAGCGAACAGGAUUAGAUACCCUGGUAGUCCACGCCGUAAACGGUGGAUGCUGGAUGUGGGGCCCGUUCCACGGGUUCCGUGUCGGAGCUAACGCGUUAAGCAUCCCGCCUGGGGAGUACGGCCGCAAGGCUAAAACUCAAAGAAAUUGACGGGGGCCCGCACAAGCGGCGGAGCAUGCGGAUUAAUUCGAUGCAACGCGAAGAACCUUACCUGGGCUUGACAUGUUCCCGACGGUCGUAGAGAUACGGCUUCCCUUCGGGGCGGGUUCACAGGUGGUGCAUGGUCGUCGUCAGCUCGUGUCGUGAGAUGUUGGGUUAAGUCCCGCAACGAGCGCAACCCUCGCCCCGUGUUGCCAGCGGAUUAUGCCGGGAACUCACGGGGGACCGCCGGGGUUAACUCGGAGGAAGGUGGGGAUGACGUCAGAUCAUCAUGCCCCUUACGUCCAGGGCUUCACGCAUGCUACAAUGGCCGGUACAACGGGAUGCGACGCGGCGACGCGGAGCGGAUCCCUGAAAACCGGUCUCAGUUCGGAUCGCAGUCUGCAACUCGACUGCGUGAAGGCGGAGUCGCUAGUAAUCGCGAAUCAGCAACGUCGCGGUGAAUGCGUUCCCGGGCCUUGUACACACCGCCCGUCAAGUCAUGAAAGUGGGCAGCACCCGAAGCCGGUGGCCUAACCCCUUGUGGGAUGGAGCCGUCUAAGGUGAGGCUCGUGAUUGGGACUAAGUCGUAACAAGGUAGCCGUACCGGAAGGUGCGGCUG